AUAUAUUAGUAUAAUUUAUGUUAUUGAUAUGGUCCUUCAACUGACAUACAAUGUACACAAACAGUUGACAAGAUUUUCUUCAAUAAAAGCCUACACCAUACAAUGCCCUUACUUUAUGACACUAUCUUAACCCUUGGAAAGACAAAGAUAAAAGCAGAGCAGACUCUCAUAGUUAUCUUUCAAAUCUUCAUAAAUCAUACUUCCAAUUUCUCAAUAAUAAAGACACUCUAAUUCCCAUAUAAAUUGGAAUCAAACCCUUCCUGCCCAAUAAGCUAUAAUUUACAAACAUUUAUUCAAGACCAUGCCCU
rnacentral:misc_RNA from 1 species